UUAAAUUGAAGAGUUUGAUCAUGGCUCAGAUUGAACGCUGGCGGCAGGCCUAACACAUGCAAGUCGAACGGUAACAGGAAGAAGCUUGCUUCUUUGCUGACGAGUGGCGGACGGGUGAGUAAUGUCUGGGAAACUGCCUGAUGGAGGGGGAUAACUACUGGAAACGGUAGCUAAUACCGCAUAACGUCGCAAGACCAAAGAGGGGGGACCUUCGGGCCUCUUGCCAUCGGAUGUGCCCAGAUGGGAUUAGCUAGUAGGUGGGGUAACGGCUCACCUAGGCGACGAUCCCUAGCUGGUCUGAGAGGAUGACCAGCCACACUGGAACUGAGACACGGUCCAGACUCCUACGGGAGGCAGCAGUGGGGAAUAUUGCACAAUGGGCGCAAGCCUGAUGCAGCCAUGCCGCGUGUAUGAAGAAGGCCUUCGGGUUGUAAAGUACUUUCAGCAGGGAGGAAGGGAGUAAAGUUAAUACCUUUGCUCAUUGACGUUACCCGCAGAAGAAGCACCGGCUAACUCCGUGCCAGCAGCCGCGGUAAUACGGAGGGUGCAAGCGUUAAUCGGAAUUACUGGGCGUAAAGCGCACGCAGGCGGUUUGUUAAGUCAGAUGUGAAAUCCCCGGGCUCAACCUGGGAACUGCAUCUGAUACUGGCAAGCUUGAGUCUCGUAGAGGGGGGUAGAAUUCCAGGUGUAGCGGUGAAAUGCGUAGAGAUCUGGAGGAAUACCGGUGGCGAAGGCGGCCCCCUGGACGAAGACUGACGCUCAGGUGCGAAAGCGUGGGGAGCAAACAGGAUUAGAUACCCUGGUAGUCCACGCCGUAAACGAUGUCGACUUGGAGGUUGUGCCCUUGAGGCGUGGCUUCCGGAGCUAACGCGUUAAGUCGACCGCCUGGGGAGUACGGCCGCAAGGUUAAAACUCAAAUGAAUUGACGGGGGCCCGCACAAGCGGUGGAGCAUGUGGUUUAAUUCGAUGCAACGCGAAGAACCUUACCUGGUCUUGACAUCCACAGAACUUUCCAGAGAUGGAUUGGUGCCUUCGGGAACUGUGAGACAGGUGCUGCAUGGCUGUCGUCAGCUCGUGUUGUGAAAUGUUGGGUUAAGUCCCGCAACGAGCGCAACCCUUAUCCUUUGUUGCCAGCGGUCCGGCCGGGAACUCAAAGGAGACUGCCAGUGAUAAACUGGAGGAAGGUGGGGAUGACGUCAAGUCAUCAUGGCCCUUACGACCAGGGCUACACACGUGCUACAAUGGCGCAUACAAAGAGAAGCGACCUCGCGAGAGCAAGCGGACCUCAUAAAGUGCGUCGUAGUCCGGAUUGGAGUCUGCAACUCGACUCCAUGAAGUCGGAAUCGCUAGUAAUCGUGGAUCAGAAUGCCACGGUGAAUACGUUCCCGGGCCUUGUACACACCGCCCGUCACACCAUGGGAGUGGGUUGCAAAAGAAGUAGGUAGCUUAACCUUCGGGAGGGCGCUUACCACUUUGUGAUUCAUGACUGGGGUGAAGUCGUAACAAGGUAACCGUAGGGGAACCUGCGGUUGGAUCACCUCCUUACCUUAAAGAAGC
rnacentral:rRNA from 1 species